rnacentral:tRNA from 1 species
AUGGCUGAUAAAGGUAAUAAAUUGAUAUUUUAUAUAUAUAUAUAUAUACAAUA